CUGAGAACUUCAAGCAAAACUUCGUGUGUGUCCAGUUUUGGCCUUGGCAGGUGGCCUGUGGCCCGUGAGCCACAGCACACACCUCCAGAGCUGCCUUCACAUGGCUUUCAACAUCUUCCUAAAGCAGUUCCUCAAUGAGGCUGGAUUAUCGCAUCUCUUACUCUUUGCCUUCUGGGCUGUGUGCGUCCUGUGCCAGCUGAAAUAAAGAAGGCAGCAUCACCUUCAAAUUGGAUUUUUUCUCUCCAGUUCAGUUCAGAUUUGGGAAAGUAUCUAUGAGUCAUGGGAAUAAGAAAAUCUGUGUGAUUUCCCCCUUCCAUGGAGCAGAGAAGAUCCUACAGGCUGAAUUUUGGUAGAAGGUCCCUGUCUAAAUAUAAGUAAAGAAUAUCAAGCAAAUUGAGGCACCUUGGCAAGAGACUUGCAGCUGUUUAAACCCCCUAAUUAAUGCCAGGUAAUAACCGGCAAUGGAUCUAUUAUCUCCAAAUUGUUUCAAGUCCAUCACUGAAUCCACUCUGGUCUCCACAGCAACUAAAGUCAGCGAGUACCACAAUUUAAUUGCACGCUGUGUGAAAUGCAACAUGCUGAGAGCCGCAGCCUUUGCUGGGAUGGUCCUUAGGUCCUGCUUGUAUGUCCUCAAAGAGUUACUGUUUUGUGUAGUCCUAGAACAGCUUCCUCUCUAGCCUGCAUGUCUGGUGUGA